CAGCAGCCGCGGUAAAACGUAGGGUGCAAGCGUUAAUCGGAAUUACUGGGCGUAAAGCGUGCGCAGGCGGUUAUAUAAGUCAGAUGUGAAAUCCCCGGGCUCAACCUGGGAACUGCAUUUGAGACUGUAUGGCUAGAGUGUGUCAGAGGGGGGUAGAAUUCCACGUGUAGCAGUGAAAUGCGUAGAGAUGUGGAGGAACACCGAUGGCGAAGGCAGCCCCCUGGGCCAAUACUGACGCUCAUGCACGAAAGCGUGGGGAGCAAACAGGAUUAGAUACCCGAGUAGUCCCUGUCUCUUAUAC
rnacentral:rRNA from 1 species